GAGUGGAAUGAUGCUUUACCAUCUUUCGGGACUGACCUGAAAUGGAGACAAAUUUCUGAACUGAUCACUC